AGAGUUGAUCAUGGCUCAGGAUGAACGCUAGCUACAGGCCUAACACAUGCAAGUCGAGGGGCAGCAUGGGAGAAGCUCGCUUUCCCGAUGGCGACCGGCGAAUGGGUGAGUCACGCGUGUCCAACCUGCCUUCAGCCCGGGGAUAGCCCUUGGAAAUGAGGAUUAAGACCCGAUAGGUGGAGCUUCCGCAUGGCGGCUCCAUGAAACUGGACUGAAGAUGGGGACGCGUCGGAUUAGCUAGACGGCGGGGCAAUGGCCCACCGUGGCGACGAUCCGCAGGGGUUCUGGGAGGAAGGUCCCCCACACUGGCACUGAGACACGGGCCAGACUCCUACGGGAGGCAGCGGUGAGGAAUAUUGGUCAAUGGGCGAGAGCCUGAACCAGCCAAGUAAGCGUGCAGGAUGACGGCCCUACGGGUUGUAAACUGCUUUUGCGGGAGGAUAAAGGACACUACGUGUAGUGUUUUGCAGGUAUCCCGUGAAUAAGGACCGGCUAAUUCCGUGCCAGCCGCGGC
rnacentral:rRNA from 1 species